AAAAAUGUGAUAUUCCUAGACUGCUUGCACAUGGUACAUUCAAUGCCCAUACUUGGCAGAAGUUCAUAGAAGGUGAUGAAAUUUCAUAUUCUUGUGAGGUUGGAUAUGAUCCUAUAAAUCAACAAGCUAAGGCCGUGUGCACCAAAAAUGGCUGGUCACCUACUCCACGCUGUAACAUAAAAAGUAAGUGUUAUUUAUUGAAUCCAAUUUGACAAUAUAGAACCUGAGAACCUGGAGCCUGCCCUGUCCUGCUGUGAACAACCAGUACAUUAUAUUAUUUUCUUGGACUUCUCACAGUUAUAGGAAAGGGUGUGCAUGUUUGCAAAUCCCAUGCUGAUUUAAUAAUAAUAAUAAUAAUAAUUUAUUAUUUAUACCCCGCCCAUCUGGCUGGGCUUCCCCAGCCACUCUGGGCGGCUUCCAAAAUAAUAUUAAAAUACUGUAAUACAUCAAACAUUAAAAGCUUCCCUAAACAGGGGUGCCAUCAGAUGUCUUCUAAAAGUCUGGUAGUUGUUGUUCUCUUUGACAUCUGGUGGGAGAGCGUUCCACAGGGAGGGUGCCACUACCGAGAAGGCCCUCUGCCUGGUUCCCUGUAACUUGGCUUCUCGCCGUGAGCAACCACCAGAAGGCCCUCGGUGCUGGACCUCAGUGUCCGGGUAGAACGAUGGGGGUGGAGGCGCUCCUUCAGAUAUACUGGACCGAGGCCGUUUAGGGCUUUAAAGGUCAGCACCAACACUUUGAAUUGUGCUCGGAAACGUACUGGGAGCCAAUGUAGGUCUUUCAAGACCAGUGUUAUAUGGUCUCGGUGCCACUCCCAGUCACCAGUCUGGCUGCCGUGUUCUGGAUUAGUUGUAGUUUCGGGGUCACCUUCAAAGGUAGCCCCACGUAGAGCGCAUUGCAGUAGUCCAAGCGGGAGAUAAGCAGAGCAUGCACCACUCUGGCGAGGCAGUCCGCAGGCAGAUAGGGUCUCAGCCUGUGUACCAGAUGGAGCUGGUAAACAGCUGCCCUGGACACGGAUUUGACCUGUGCCUCCAUGGACAGCUGUGAGUCCAAAAUGACUCCCAGGCUGCACACCUGGUCCUUCAGGGGCACAGUUACCCCAUUCAGGACCAGAGAAUCCUCCACACCUGCCCGCCUCCUGUCCCCCAAAAACAGUACUUCUGUCUUGUCAGGAUUCAAUCUCAAUCUGUUAGCCGCCAUCCACCCUCGAACCGCCUCCAGGCACUCACACAGGACCUUCACCACCUUCACUGGUUCUGAUCUGAAAGAGAGGUAGAGCUGGGUAUCAUCCGCAUACUGAUGAACACCCAGCCCAAACCCCUGAUGAUCUCUCCCAGCGGCUGCAAGUAGAUGUUGAAAAGCAUGGGGGAGAGGACAGAACCCUGAGGCACCCCACAAGUGAGAGCUCAGGGGUCUGAACACUCAUCCCCCCCACCACUUUUUGAACACGGCUCAGGAGGAAGGAGCGGAACCACUGCAUGACAGUGCCCCCAACUCCCAGCCCCUCAACAGUCCAGAAGGAUGUUAUGGUUGAUGGUAUCAAACGCCGUUGAGAGAUCCAGCAGAACUAGGAAACAGCUCUCACCUUUGUCCCUAGCCCGCCAGAGAUGAUCAACCAGUGCGACCAAGGCAGUUUCAGUCCCAUGAUGAGGCCUGAAUCCUGACUGGAAGGGAUCCAAAUAGUCCGCUUCUUCCAGGCGUGCCUGGAGUUGUUCAGCAACCACUUGCUCAAUCACCUUGCCCAAGAAUGGAAGAUUUGAGACUGGGCGAUAGUUGGCCAUUGUAUCCGCAUCUAAAGUUGGUUUUUAAGAAGCGGUUUAAUAACCGCCUCUUUCAGCGGGUCUGGGAAGGCUUCCUCACGGAGGGAAGCAUUCACCACCCCACGAAGCCCAUCGCCCAGCCCUUCCCGGCUAGCUUUUAUAAGCCAAGAUGGGCAAGGAUCAAGGAGACAGGUGGUUGGUUUCACUCGUCUAAGCAGCCUGUCCACAACCUCGGAGGUAACAGAUUGGAAUUGAUCCCACGCAAUUUGACUAGACAAGACUCUAGCACUCUCCCGCCCUGGCCCUGCUCCCAUGAUGGCGUCUAGCUCUUCCCGAAUCUGAGUGACUUUAUCUGCAAAAAACUUUGCAAAAUCAUUGCAGGAGAUCAUGUACUGGGCUCUGAUGUAGCAGGUAGCUCCGCUAAAUUGCGAACCACCUGAAAAAAGUCUCCUGCUGCUGUUUUCUGCAGAUGCAGAGUCUUCUUCGCCGUCGCUACCGCCACUUGGUAGGCUCGACAUUGAGCUCUAACCCGUGUCUGGUCAGCUUCAGAAUGGGUCAUCCGCCACUGGCGCUCUAGCCGUCUCAGCGAUUAUUUCAUUGCCCUCAGAUCCGUGGAAAACCACGGGGCUGUCCGGGCUCCAUGCAAUCAGAGAGGGCGCUUCGGAGCCAAACAGUGAAUAGCCCUGGUUAACUCCACAUUCCAGUGGGCCACCAGGGAAUCAGCUGAAAGGCCAUCAACAUGGG